rnacentral:lncRNA from 1 species
UCACCUUCUCCACUGACACCAUAGAGGGUACCAAUUGGUGACGUAUUUGGAAGUGACACCAAAGUAGAUAAAUGGUGACCCAUUCAGAAGUGACACCAUAUAUUUCUAGUGAUGAUAAGGUGUCACAUUAAAUACAUCAUCUUUGAGUUAUGAUGUCACAUUAAAUGCAUCACCUUUGAGUUAUGGUAUCACAUCAUUGUAAAUUAUUGUGGAAUAUAUGAUUGGUUUUAGUUGUUGAUUUUUGUAAUGCUUAUGAAUUAAUAAGAUUAACCUGUUUAUAUUUUGUCCAUA